rnacentral:lncRNA from 1 species
UUUUAAUGUCUGAUUGUUGAUAUUUGAAAACAAUCUCAGUGAAAAACAUCAUGUUUUCUUUUUGCAAGAAGAUUUGAGAUGCCUUUAGCAAUUUACUAUAAUUAUCCUUUUUUUUCUUUUUUUUCCUACUGAAAACUGAACAGUAAAAUAAAUACAAUUGUGGUGAUCUGGAAGAAACAUCUGUGUAAAGGUAGAUUUGACUUCCUGAGAAGGCAUUACACUGAAGGAACGGAGGAUUCCUCACUUAUUCCCGAUAAUAUAUCUGUCAACUGAUUUCAGUGCUACUGGAGCUAGGCUACAUUUUUCCGUGCUAUGAUCAACCUCUGGCAGAGCAAUGGAAGGCCACUUGUGAAGUUAUAGUAUUCCACUGGAAUGGGGAAUGAUUUCAAUGUUAUCUUCAAAAAUAUAAAGUCUAGGUAUACCUGAAAGAAACCUAAAAGAUUUUCUCCAUGACAAAGGGAAAAUGGUACUCUUGCUCCUACUCUAUGGUUUCAUCUGCACAGCACUAGAUGACAUGGAAUGGAAAAGACAGACAGACAGACGGAUAAAAACAUUGCAGUUCCUACAUGCAGAAUCUUCAAAUUUGGAGUGGAUUUCAGGCUGAGUUACAUUCACUGAGAAGUCAGAACAGAAAGUAUGUCACAUUCCAGUGAAGAAAUGAAAGAUUUUGAACCAAGUCAAGGGGCAGAAAUUUCCAUGUUGCCAUGAUUAUCAGCCAUACUGCGGAAGAAAAGAAGAAGAGAAACAAGAAAAAAAAGGUAAAGAAAGCAAAGGUAAAGCUACAAACAAUUUCUUGGUCAUAUUUAUGAGUACAGUGACCACACAUAGUAGAUUUAAAAUAGCUAGUUAAGUUGCACCAGAAGUUUGUUCUCUUUGUGCUUUUUAACUCUACUUACUACUUUCUGCAUCACAUGUUUAACUGUGCUUUUCUGCAAAAAAUUACCCACAAAACACAGGAAAAUUAAAUGUUGCCUUUCCAGAAUUCCAAUUAUUAGAACCCAACUUUUUCUCCGUCAAACACAUACAACUGUCUUUCCCAUUAAGUGAAGUGCCAGAGUGAACUAACAUUGAGCUGAACAAUAGGCAGAACUGGACUGUGAUCUUUUUAAAGGCUCUUUAAUAACUGGAGUGCUUAAUUCAAAGCUGUUCCAUAGAUAAAUCAAUUACUGCGUUAAGUGAAUCUGCCACUAGAACAAUGAGAGAAUAUACCUGCACUAUUUAUGUACAAGCAUAUUUGUAUACUAAAUACAGUAAAUGAACUGGUUGUAAGGAUUUUGUUUGUUUGUUUGUUUGCUUACUUCUUUAUUCAGUUUUUCUUUGUUUAUCCCUAUAUUAUUUAAAAGAAAUAAAAAGAUGAAUAUACUACA